rnacentral:rRNA from 1 species
AAGCGUGACGCUGGCGGCGUGCCUAUACAUGCAGUCGAGCGGACAGAUGGGAGCUUGCUCCCUGAUGUUAGCGGCGGACGGGUGAGUAACACGUGGGUAACCUGCCUGUAAGACUGGGAUAACUCCGGGAAACCGGGGCUAAUACCGGAUGCUUGUUUGAACCGCAUGGUUCAAACAUAAAAGGUGGCUUCGGCUACCACUUACAGAUGGACCCGCGGCGCAUUAGCUAGUUGGUGAGGUAAUGGCUCACCAAGGCGACGAUGCGUAGCCGACCUGAGAGGGUGAUCGGCCACACUGGGACUGAGACACGGCCCAGACUCCUACGGGAGGCAGCAGUAGGGAAUCUUCCGCAAUGGACGAAAGUCUGACGGAGCAACGCCGCGUGAGUGAUGAAGGUUUUCGGAUCGUAAAGCUCUGUUGUUAGGGAAGAACAAGUACCGUUCGAAUAGGGCGGUACCUUGACGGUACCUAACCAGAAAGCCACGGCUAACUACGUGCCAGCAGCCGCGGUAAUACGUAGGUGGCAAGCGUUGUCCGGAAUUAUUGGGCGUAAAGGGCUCGCAGGCGGUUUCUUAAGUCUGAUGUGAAAGCCCCCGGCUCAACCGGGGAGGGUCAUUGGAAACUGGGGAACUUGAGUGCAGAAGAGGAGAGUGCAAUUCCACGUGUAGCGGUGAAAUGCGUAGAGAUGUGGAGGAACACCAGUGCGAAGGCGACUCUCUGGUCUGUAACUGACGCUGAGGACGAAGCGUGGGGAGCGACAGGAUUAGAUACCCUGGUAGUCCACGCCGUAAACGAUGAGUGCUAAUUGUAGGGGGUUUCGGC